rnacentral:piRNA from 1 species
UAGUGUUUCUGUGUAUCUUCUAGUGGGU